GUUAUGCUGAGACCAAGAGCUUUUAUGAGAUAUCACUUGGCUCAGGCUUUAGAGCACAUACACUCUCGGGAAGGGAGGGUGUUUAUGUCUGCGCAUGCAUGACUGUGUAUAUGUGUUUUGUGAGUGUGUACUGGAGAAGCCCAGUGGCUAAUACACAGAACAAGAGGACUGGAGGGGACCCCAGAAGAGAGAGCGUGCCAUUCUUUUCCCUUGGGGACAGGGGACACCCCGACCCCCAUCACGAGCUCUCCCUCCUCCAGGCCAGGAGUUAGUUGGGAUGACUCCCACCCCUGACGGCAGAAUUUUAAACCUAAGGGUGCCACUAAGGAUCUCCUAUAAGAUACAUCUAAAGUGAAACGAGGUACCGGGGUUCCUCUCAACAGGAUCAGCCUGAUGUGAACCAAAGGUUCACAGAUGCACACACUGCCUGACUUUGAAACAGGUUUGUCCUUCUUCCUCCUCAGGAACUAAAACUCCCCGUGGCCAGGCCAUGGCUUUGAGUGAGAGUGACAGAGCCCUUACCUGUACCACUAUCUAUCCUAUUUCCAAUAAUCCGAGAUCACAGUCUGAACCUCAUCCCAACUCCCAACGUACACUGGAAGACCCUUCACUGCCCUCUGCAGAAAGAGCCUCCUCUCACAUGAACUUGAGUCCAUGAUCGUGUCUGAGUGUCCAGCCUGACAAACCCUGGAAAACACCCUUCCAAGACACUGACAUCUACAUACAGGGCCAGAAAGAAGAGUGUUCAGGGCAGGGCCUUGGGACUAUUCAAAAUUACAGAGGUAACCAAAGUAACUGCAAGUCCACAGAUAAUUGUUCCAGUUCCCCACAGACUCUGGCCGAGUCUCAGUCCUACCUGGUCCCUGGGGCCUCAGGUGCCUUGUGGACUAGCAGGGCUGUCUUAUCACGGCCUGGCUGGACGGAAUGUGGUGAAAACCUUUGCCUGGUACAACUGCCGCUGCUCCACAGCCCAGGAAUUUUGUGUUGAAUAAUUUUUAACUUCUGCUCUGAGAAAAAACAGGGUUUGUGUAUAACGUUCAUCGACACAGGAAUGCCAAGGGGCUUUCAUUGAAAAGCGAAGACUUUGUAAAGAUGGGGAAAGCCUGAUUUGGAGAAACAGGAACAACACCACCAAAAGAGGUCAGAAGAAAGCAGUCCUGGGGGCUUACAGACCCCGCUGGUAUCUAGCCCUGGAUGCUAAACCCUGGACACUUAUAAUUCAUGGGCAACAGCCCUCCCUGGAGAAAAACAGAACACUGUGGGGGUUGGGGACAACUCCCUUUUCCAGCAGAGGUUUGUUUCCUGAUAGGAAUAGAAAUGUCCUCCUCCACACAUUUCUGCAUGUACUUCUUGUUCUGUGGUCACUCACCCCAUCUGGCCCCUAACCCAGAGAAAUGUCCUGUGAUUUUUAAAGAUCUUUGUACUACAGAAAUUGCCCUGCCAAGAACCAUUUUGUACUCUUUAGUCAGCAUUCACAACCACGGUCCCCAUUCUCAGUGGUGGGCACUCAACGGUCUACUCCAGGAGGAUAGGACCCUUCUUAUUCCAUACUCAGGCUUGUAUCCUGCCUCCAGGCCAUGCCUCACUCACCCACCAAGGCCCUGAGCCAUCUAUCAGUCUGAGACCUUCCUGCUCUGCCCUGGUGGGAGUCUAAAGUGAUGAUGACCUCAGGACUUUGGAGCUGGACAAGGAGGAGACAGAGUAUGACUGCUAUGGAUCCUGUGGCCACUUGAUGGGGAGGUCAGGCCAUGGGUAGGGUCCACAGGAGACAAGUGUAGACCCACCAGGUUACAGAGUGCAAGGAGAUGGGCUGGAGAGAUGACUCAGCCAUUAAAGGCUAGGCUCACAACCAGAGUGCAAGGAGUCCUUAGGGGAAGUGUGUGUUUUACCUCAGGAGAGGGUUUUCUGGCUUGCCCUAUUCCCUAUGGAGUGUUCAACAAAGAUUUUUUUGGGUCUGAACAUUAACUCUGUUUCCCUUAGCAUCAGGUAUAAGGUGCAUCCACAUGACCUCUGAGUUGUUACCAACUCAUGAGCUGGGACAAGUGUCCAACACAAGGUUCUGCAGGGGCACUCAAACUGUUGUAUUGGGUCUCUUUCAGACUUCCCUGUCUACACUGCUUAUGAUCCCUAUAGCCCACACAAGCACCGGUCUUGCCAAUUGAUGGGUGAGCUGAGCCCUUCUCAGCCUUUUAUUUGUGUGUCUCUAAAUACUGAUUCUGGGCCUCUAUUCAUGACAGCCCAGAGUUCAGGGCAACCUUUUAUGGAAAUGCCACUCACAGCCUCUUGCUAGCUUUCCCACCAUGGUAUUGUAGAACUCUCAUUCCUCCAACCACAAUAAUAUUUAAAUUAUUUUUAUUACAAUUUAUUUGCUGACCAUCUGUGUGUGAGUGUGUGUGUGUGUGAGUGUGUGAGUGUGUGAAUGUGUGAGUGUGUGUGAGUGUGAGUGUGUGAGUGUGUGAGUGUGUGAGUGUGUGAGAGUGUGAAUGUGUGUGAGUUGCGUGUGUGAGUGUGGGUGUGUGUGAGUGUGUGAGUGUGUGUGAGUGUGUGUGUGAGUGUGAGUGUGUGAGUGUGUGUGUGAGUGUGUGUGAGAGUGUGUGUGAGAGUGUGUGUGAGUGUGUGUGUAUGUGUGUGAGUGUGUGUGAGUGUGUGUGUGUGUGAGUGAGUGUGUGUGUGUGUGUGUGUGUGAGUGUGUGUGAGGGUUGGUGGCAAGCACUGUGACCCCCGAUUCACCUUGCCAGCUCCCACACAUUUUAAUAUGGCUUAUAUGAGAGGUCAAUGCCUGGCACCUUUCUCCACCCCGUCAGAUCCCAGAGGUGGGUAGCUUACUGAGGGGAACUGAGAUCCAUUUCUCCCCCCAUCACAUACUUGUUUGACCCACCCUGGUAAACUCAUCCCCUUGGCUUCUGAGCUCUGUUAGUGUACAUUGUAGGAGGCCUCUGCCUAUGCACUGUUUGUUCCUGUACCAAGUACAAAUAUGGCGACUGCUUUUUCAUAGGCCCUCAACGUCUGGAGGAGCUGACUCUCUCUGCUCUUUCUCUCUUAAGGAUCACUUAUUUAUUUAUACUUUCUGUUGGUGGUUUUUUGUUUGUUUAUCUGUUUUUUAAGACAGGGUUCCUCUAUGUAGCUCUGAUUGUCCUGGAACUCACUAUAUAGACCAGGCUGGCUUGGAACUCACAGAGAUCAGCUUGCCUCUGCCUCCCGGGUGCUGGAAUAAAGGUUGUGUCACCCUGACUGGAUUUAUUCACACCCUUUAACUUCAUAAUUAUUAGGGUACGCUUAUCUAGUUCCUGAAAAUUUUCAAAUGAGGUUUGGAAUAGGUUUUGUAGGUGUGACACUGGGUUCUAGGGGCUGGGUUUCUAGUAGUGUUUGAUCUUCCCAGAGACUGGAGACCCAAAUAGGCCAAAGUUCCUUGAAUUUUAAAGAUUUGGAUAGGUGAGGUAUGCUCUGACAUAAGUUAAUUACAAGAUACUACCGCAAAUUCUAUUUUUCUAGUCAAUUAAUGCUGAUGUUGAAAAAUACUAUCUAGUUUUUUGUGGUUUUUUUUUUUGUCUAGUUUUGUGGGGUUUUUUUUUCUAUUAAAAAAAUUGAGGUAAUGGCUGGAGAGAUGGCUCAGCAGUUAAGCACACUGACUGCUCUGCUAGAGGUCCUGAGUUCAGUUCCCAGCAACCACAUGGUAGCUCACAACCAUCUGUAAUGAGAUCUGAUGCCCUCUUCUUGUGUGUCUGAAGACAGCUACAAUGUACUCAUAUACAUUAAAUACAUUUUUUUAAAAAAGGGGGUGAUUUAAAAAAAUCAAAGUAAGCCAGAAGGUAGUGGUGUAUGCCUUUAAGUCCAGCAGGGGGGCAUAGACACUUGAGGCUACCCUGGUCUACAGAGUGAGUUCCAAGACAACCAAGGCUACACAGAGAAACCACGUCUUGAGAAACCAAGAAGAGGAAGAGGAGGAAGGGGAAGGGGAAGAAGGGGGAG
ensembl:lncRNA